GUAUGUGUAGCUCAAUUGGGAAGAGCAUCUGAUUUUGACUCAGAGUGUUGUGGGUUCGAUUCCCACCACAAACUCCA
rnacentral:tRNA from 1 species